AACAUGGAUCACCACAGAUAACACUGCUACUCCUACUGCUCUCUCCUCGUCUGACUACGUGUUCUCGCAUACCCCUAGAUCAUCGAGCCAGCGGGGUGGUGGCACUGGAAUCCUCAUCUCUCCCAAGUUCCCUUGGAGAGUUCAUCAAUGAGCUUGACGCCUUGAUAAGUUCCUUUCCUGAGGAUGGCUCACCUCUCACAGUUCUGGACCAUUUCCGGAGACCUUCUCCCCUACCUCACCUCGCUCAUCAACGCAUCCUUGACCGCUGGCUACGUCCCUUCCGUCUUCAAGAGAGCGAGAGUUGCAC
rnacentral:lncRNA from 1 species